AUUGUACUCCUUCCGUCCAACAAAGAAUGUCUUAACUUUGAUUAAAUUUGGAUGCAUCUAUACACUAAGUCACGUCUAUAUACGUUCAAAUUUUGACAAACUUGAGACAUCUUUUUGUUGGACGAAUGGAGUACUAG
rfam:Brachypodium distachyon strain Bd21 chromosome 1, whole genome shotgun sequence.